UCAAAACACGGCGAGGCAAUCCGUUGUGGAAUGAGAGGCAGGGUACGAGGGAGAGGGAGAGAGAGAAAGAGAGGACAAAACAGAGGGUAUUCUGUUAGAAAGACCAUACGGCUAUGAGAUCUGUCUGUACUAGAGAGCCUGAGAAUCUGAAGUCGAGAGCUCCGUCUAUGUGAUAUAAGUGCAGUGAUGUACUUCAAAUGCUCCGAUAACGUAAAUGAAAACAAGUGGCAGUCUGUUUACACACCAGUCAGUGGGAGAGGGGAAACACUUCCUGGAAACAGUUGCCAACAACACACAGAGUCUGUAACGUCUGUACCCGGGGAGGUAGGAGGACAAGCGAGAGCACACAGCAGGAUGCAGUGAAAAUGUGGCCCAGCUGAGCUCACAGCUAACCUGAACUAACUCUGACUCUGUUUACUUCCUAAA